AUUGAACGCUGGCGGCAGGCUUAACACAUGCAAGUCGAGCGGAGCGAGGGUGCUUGCACCUUAGCUUAGCGGCGGACGGGUGAGUAAUGCUUAGGAAUCUGCCCAUUAGUGGGGGACAACAUUCCGAAAGGGAUGCUAAUACCGCAUACGCCCUACGGGGGCAAGCAGGGGAUCUUCGGACCUUGCGCUAACAGAUGAGCCUAAGUCGGAUUAGCUAGUUGGUGGGGUAAAGGCCUACCAAGGCGACGAUCUGUAGCGGGUCUGAGAGGAUGAUCCGCCACACUGGGACUGAGACACGGCCCAGACUCCUACGGGAGGCAGCAGUGGGGAAUAUUGGACAAUGGGCGGAAGCCUGAUCCAGCCAUGCCGCGUGUGCGAAGAAGGCCUUUUGGUUGUAAAGCACUUUAAGCGAGGAGGAGGCUACUAGUAUUAAUACUACUGGAUAGUGGACGUUACUCGCAGAAUAAGCACCGGCUAACUCUGUGCCAGCCGCCGCGGUAAAAC
rnacentral:rRNA from 1 species